GUGGGGAAUAUUGCGCAAUGGGGGAAACCCUGAUCUAGCCAUGCCGCGUGAGCGAUGAAGGCCUUAGGGUUGUAAAGCUCUUUCAGAUGGGAAGAUAAUGACGGUACCAUCAGAAGAAGCCCCGGCUAACUCCGUGCCAGCAGCCGCGGUAAUACGGAGGGGGCUAGCGUUGUUCGGAAUUACUGGGCGUAAAGCGCACGUAGACGGACCAGAAAGUCAGAGGUGAAAUCCCAGGGCUCAACCUUGGAACUGCCUUUGAAACUCCUGGUCUUGAGGUCGAGAGAGGUGAGUGGAAUUCCGAGUGUAGAGGUGAAAUUAGUAGAUAUUCGGAGGAACACCAGUGGCGAAGGCGGCUCACUGGCUCGAUACUGACGCUGAGGUGCGAAAGCGUGGGGAGCAAACAGGAUUAGAAACCCUGGUAGUCC
rnacentral:rRNA from 1 species